AAGCUCUAUGCCCAGUAUGGGGCUAGGACUCAAGCUCUACUGACUGAGCCAGCCAGGCACCCCUAGAUGAUUGGUUUUAGAUCUUCUUUUGUGAUACAUGGUUUCAGUACUCACAAUCUGUAGAACACAAGCAGG